rfam:Picea glauca, whole genome shotgun sequence.
CUCUGCACACUUGUCAACGAUGCUCCUGCAUCAGAUCCCAUCAUAACUCCACAGUUAAAUGUGUUUGGGCUAGAGUAUAACUGGGAUGGGUGACCUCCCCUGAAUUCCUAGUGUUUUACAUGCC